rnacentral:rRNA from 1 species
UACGAAGGGUGCAAGCGUUACUCGGAAUUACUGGGCGUAAAGGGUGCGUAGGUGGUUGUUUAAGUCUGCUGGGAAAGCCCCGGGCUCAACCUGGGAAUGGCAGUGGAUACUGGACAGCUAGAGUGCGGUAGAGGGUAGUGGAAUUCCCGGUGUAGCAGUGAAAUGCGUAGAGAUCGGGAGGAACACCAGUGGCGAAGGCGGCUACCUGGACCAGCACUGACACUGAAGCACGAAAGCGUGGGGAGCAAACAGG